rnacentral:rRNA from 1 species
GUCUACGGCCAGACCACUCUGAAUGCUCCCGAUCUCUGAUCUUGGAAGCUAAGCAGGGUCGGGCCUGGUUAGUAUUUGGAUGGGAGAAAACACUCAGCAUCCUUGUGGCAGAUU